GACGUAGGGCGCGAGCGUUGUCCGGAUUUAUUGGGCGUAAAGAGCUCGUAGGUGGUUUGUCGCGUUGUCCGUGAAAACUCACAACUCAAUUGUGGGCGUGCGGGCGAUACGGGCAGACUGGAGUACUGCAGGGGAGACUGGAAUUCCUGGUGUAGCGGUGGAAUGCGCCAGAUAUCAGGAGGAACACCGGUGGCGAAGGCGGGUCUCUGGGCAGUAACUGACGCUGGAGGAGCGAAAGCGUGGGGAGCGAACAGG
rnacentral:rRNA from 1 species